AGAGUUUGAUCCUGGCUCAGAUUGAACGCUGGCGGCAUGCCUUACACAUGCAAGCCGAACGGCAGCACGGGCUUCGGUCUGGUGGCGAGUGGCGAACGGGUGAGUAAUAUAUCGGAACAUACCCUAGAGUGGGGGAUAACGUAGCGAAAGUUACGCUAAUACCGCAUACGCACUAAGGUGGAAAGUGGGGGAUCGCAAGACCUCAUGCUCAUGGAGUGGCCGAUAUCUGAUUAGCUAGUUGGUGAGGUAAAGGCUCACCAAGGCGACGAUCAGUAGCUGGUCUGAGAGGACGACCAGCCACACUGGAACUGAGACACGGUCCAGACUCCUACGGGAGGCAGCAGUGGGGAAUUUUGGACAAUGGGGGCAACCCUGAUCCAGCAAUGCCGCGUGAGUGAAGAAGGCCUUCGGGUUGUAAAGCUCUUUUGUCAGGGAAGAAACGGUGAGUCCUAAUACGACUUGCUAAUGACGGUACCUGAAGAAUAAGCACCGGCUAACUACGUGCCAGCAGCCGCGGUAAUACGUAGGGUGCAAGCGUUAAUCGGAAUUACUGGGCGUAAAGCGUGCGCAGGCGGUUAUAUAAGACAGAGGCGAAAUCCCCGGGCUCAACCUGGGAACUGCCUUUGUGACUGUAUGGCUAGAGUGUGUCAGAGGGGGGUAGAAUUCCACGUGUAGCAGUGAAAUGCGUAGAUAUGUGGAGGAAUACCGAUGGCGAAGGCAGCCCCCUGGGAUAACACUGACGCUCAUGCACGAAAGCGUGGGAGCAAACAGGAUUAGAUACCCUGGUAGUCCACGCCCUAAACGAUGUCUACUAGUUGUCGGGACUUAAUUGUCUUGGUAACGCAGCUAACGCGUGAAGUAGACCGCCUGGGGAGUACGGUCGCAAGAUUAAAACUCAAAGGAAUUGACG
rnacentral:rRNA from 1 species